rnacentral:rRNA from 1 species
ACGUAGGGUGCAAGCGUUAAUCGGAAUUACUGGGCGUAAAGCGUGCGCAGGCGGUUUUGUAAGCCAGAUGUGAAAUCCCCGAGCUUAACUUGGGAACUGCGUUUGGAACUACAAGACUAGAGUGUGUCAGAGGGGGGUAGAAUUCCACGUGUAGCAGUGAAAUGCGUAGAGAUGUGGAGGAAUACCGAUGGCGAAGGCAGCCCCCUGGGAUAACACUGACGCUCAUGCACGAAAGCGUGGGGAGCAAACAGGAUUAGAUACCCUGGUAGUCCACGCCCUAAACGAUGUCUACUAGUUGUCGGGAGAGGAAUCUCUUGGUAACGCAGCUAACGCGUGAAGUAGACCGCCUGGGGAGUACGGUCGCAAGAUUA